AGCCCCAUCGUCUAGUGGCCAAGGAUGGCAGGCUCUGACCCUGCAGACAGGAGUUCGAAUCUCCUUGGGGCUA
rnacentral:tRNA from 1 species